rnacentral:rRNA from 1 species
GACGAACGCUGGCGGCGUGCCUAAUACAUGCAAGUAGAACGCUGAAGCGAGGAGCUUGCUCUUCUUGGAUGAGUUGCGAACGGGUGAGUAACGCGUAGGUAACCUGCCUUGUAGCGGGGGAUAACUAUUGGAAACGAUAGCUAAUACCGCAUAACAAUGGAUGACACAUGUCAUUUAUUUGAAAGGGGCAAUUGCUCCACUACAAGAUGGACCUGCGUUGUAUUAGCUAGUAGGUGAGGUAACGGCUCACCUAGGCGACGAUACAUAGCCGACCUGAGAGGGUGAUCGGCCAAACUGGGACUGAGACACGGCCCAGACUCCUACGGGAGGCAGCAGUAGGGAAUCUUCGGCAAUGGGGGCAACCCUGACCGAGCAACGCCGCGUGAGGGAAGAAGGGUUUCGGAUCGUAAAGCUCGGUUGUAAGUCAAGAACGAGUGUGAGAGUGGAAAGUUCACACUGUGACGGUAGCUUACCAGAAAGGGACGGCUAACUACGUG